AGCUACCCUCCUGUAGGUUUUCACUCCAACCCUGUUCCUGGAGAGCUACCCUCCUGUAGGUUUCCACUCCAACCCUGUUCCUGGAGAGCUACCCUCCUGUAGGUUUUCACUCCAACCCUGUUCCUGGAGAGCUACCCUCCUGUAGGUUUUCACUCCAACCCUGUUCCUGGAGAGCUACCCUCCUGUAGGUUUUCACUCCAACCCUGUUCCUGGAGAGCUACCCUCCUGUAGGUUUUCACUCCAACCCUGUCCCUGGAGAGCUAACGUCCUGUAGGUUUUCACUCCAACCCUGUUCCUGGAGAGCUAACGUCCUGUAGGUUUUCACUCCAACCCUGUUCCUGGAGAGCUACCCUCCUGUAGGUUUUCACUUCAACCCUAAUCUAGCAC
rnacentral:lncRNA from 1 species